AUUGAACGCUGGCGGCAUGCUUUACACAUGCAAGUCGAACGGUAACAGGGUGCUUGCACCGCUGACGAGUGGCGAACGGGUGAGUAAUGCGUCGGAACGUGCCGAGUAGUGGGGGAUAACGCAGCGAAAGUUGUGCUAAUACCGCAUACGUACUGAGGUAGAAAGUGGGGGACCUUCGGGCCUCACGCUAUUCGAGCGGCCGACGUCUGAUUAGCUAGUAGGUGAGGUAAAGGCUCACCUAGGCAACGAUCAGUAGCGGGUCUGAGAGGAUGAUCAGCCACACUGGGACUGAGACACGGCCCAGACUCCUACGGGAGUCAGCAGUGGGGAAUUUUGGACAAUGGGCGAAAGCCUGAUCCAGCCAUGCCGCGUGUCUGAAGAAGGCCUUCGGGUUGUAAAGGACUUUUGUCAGGGAGGAAAUCCCUAGUGCUAAUAACACUGGGGGAUGACAGUACCUGAAGAAUAAGCACCGGCUAACUGCGUGCCAGCAGCCGCGGUAA
rnacentral:rRNA from 1 species